rnacentral:rRNA from 1 species
AUAAGGUUAAGUUAAUAAGGGCGCACGGUGGAUGCCUUGGCACUAGGAGCCGAAGAAGGACGUGACAAACGACGAUAUGCCUUGGGUAGCUGUAAGUAAGCGAUGAUCCAGGGAUUUCCGAAUGGGGGAACCCAACAGGUACUACCUGUUACCCACAUCUGUUAAGGAUGUGAGGAGGAAGACGCAGUGAACUGAAACAUCUAAGUAGCUGCAGGAAGAGAAAGCAAAAGCGAUUGCCUUAGUAGCGGCGAGCGAAACGGCAGGAGGGCAAACCGAAGAGUUUACUCUUCGGGGUUGUAGGACUGCAAUGUGGACUCAAAGAUUAUAGAAGAAUGAUUUGGGAAGAUCAGCCAAAGAGAGUAAUAGCCUCGUAUUUAAAAUAGUCUUUGUACCUAGCAGUAUCCUGAGUACGGCGGGACACGAGAAAUCCCGUCGGAAUCUGGGAGGACCAUCUCCCAACCCUAAAUACUCCCUAGUGACCGAUAGUGAACCAGUACCGUGAGGGAAAGGUGAAAAGNNNNNNNNNNCCCCGGGAGGGGAGUGAAAUAGAACCUGAAACCGUGUGCCUACAACAAGUUCGAGCCCGUUAAUGGGUGAGAGCGUGCCUUUUGUAGAAUGAACCGGCGAGUUACGUUAUGAUGCGAGGUUAAGUUGAAGAGACGGAGCCGUAGGGAAACCGAGUCUGAAUAGGGCGAAUUAGUAUCAUGACGUAGACCCGAAACCAUGUGACCUACCCAUGAGCAGGUUGAAGGUGCGGUAAGACGCACUGGAGGACCGAACCAGGGCACGUUGAAAAGUGCUUGGAUGACUUGUGG